GGGCCCGUGGCGCAGCCUGGUUAGCGCGUUCGCCUGAUAAGCGAAAGGUCCUGGGUUCGAAGCCCAGCGGGCCCA
rnacentral:tRNA from 1 species